CUGUGUGUGUGCAUGUAUGUGUGCGUGCAUGUGCAUGUGUGUGCAUGCAUGUGUGUGUCUGUGUGCUUGUGCAUGUGUGUGCAUGUAUAUGUGUGCGUGUGCAUGUGUGUGUACAUGUG
rnacentral:miRNA from 1 species